UGCCUGUAAUCCCAGCUACUCAGGAGGCUG
rnacentral:piRNA from 1 species